rnacentral:lncRNA from 1 species
GUUUUGAUUGUGCCAUAAUUUUAAUUUACUAUACUAUAUUAUAUACACUUAGUUUACAAUAUUUACUAUCAAUUAUUAAUACAUUUAUGCAUUCAAUCAUUGACGAACAGUCCCAAACCGACUAUAGUCUAUACUGUUCUGCACAAAUUAAUCAUGCAUGCAGUCCUGCCAGAUUUUCUGGUACUAUAUAUACUGUGUUACUUGCGCACUAAAGCGAGUUUUCACACUUAAGCAUCCAUAACAUAGCAGUGAGAUUUGUAACUUUCUCCCCGUUUCUGGUAGGCACAUUUAUUUUCAUAGGCAUGUUUUUCACAUUAUUUUUACAGUUCAAAUUCAUUUUUUGUACAGUUCAAAUUCAAUUGAAACUUCAAGAUAACUUUCGAAAACAAUAUCUGACAGUUUUGUAUUUUCAAUGUGAAUAAAAGUUGGUUUGCAAAACAUGACCGUCAUUUAUAUCUAGGUCUUAUUAAGAAGAAGUGACGGUAACCACUUAUCCCAUAAACAUUGACAAUGAGACAACUUUCUUUUAGACACAAAAAAUUAUGUUGAAUUAAUCAAGUUUAGGUCAGCGUAUGCCUUAAACAAUGAGAAAAACACACAAACUGCAUGAAAGCAAGCUAUAACAGGGCCCUAAAUUAUAAAUGUAAAAAAAUUCAAUCACUCUAAACCAAAAUUUUAAACAUCACCAAAAAGUAAACAGAAGUUUAAAAUAUUUAUAUAACUAAGAAGUGUAUAAAGUUUAAUGCCGUUAUAAUACUUCGUUUUUGAGAUAUGGCGCGACA